rnacentral:rRNA from 1 species
AAAUAGAUACCCGGGUAGUCCACGCCGUAAACGAUGAGUGCUAAGUGUUAGAGGGGUUUUCCGCCCUUUAGUGCUGCAGCUAACGCAUUAAGCACUCCGCCUGGGGAGUACGGCCGCAAGGCUGAAACUCAAAGGAAUUGACGGGGGCCCGCACAAGCGGUGGAGCAUGUGGUUUAAUUCGAAGCAACGCGAAGAACCUUACCAGGUCUUAACAUCCUCUGCCAACCCUAGAGAUAGGGCGUUCCCCUUCGGGGGGACAGAGUGACAGGUGGUGCAUGGUUGUCGUCAGCUCGUGUCGUGAGAUGUUGGGUUAAGUCCCGCAACGAGCGCAACCCUUGAUCUUAGUUGCCAGCAUUCAGUUGGGCACUCUAAGGUGACUGCCGGUGACAAACCGGAGGAAGUGGGGAUGACGUCAAAUCAUCAUGCCCCUUAUGACCUGGGCUACACACGUGCUACAAUGGAUGGUACAAAGAGCUGCGAACCCGCGAGGGUAAGCGAAUCUCAUAAAAGCCAUUCGUCAGUUCGGA